rnacentral:rRNA from 1 species
ACUCCGGUUGAUCCUGCCGGACCCGACUGCUAUCGGAUUGGGAUUUAGCCAUGUUAGUUGUGCGUUCCUUGGCUACAGGGGACGCAGCGUACGGCUCAGUAACACGUAGUCAACCUGCCCUGGAGACGCGGACAAACCCGGGAAACUGGGGCCUAUCCGCGAUAGAUGGCCUCAUCUGGAAGGAGAGGCCGUC